UAAUUGAAGAGUUUGAUCAUGGCUCAGAUUGAACGCUGGCGGCAGGCCUAACACAUGCAAGUCGAGCGGUAACAGGGGAAGCUUGCUUCUCGCUGACGAGCGGCGGACGGGUGAGUAAUGUAUGGGGAUCUGCCCGAUAGAGGGGGAUAACUACUGGAAACGGUAGCUAAUACCGCAUAAUCUCUCAGGAGCAAAGCAGGGGAACUUCGGUCCUUGCGCUAUCGGAUGAACCCAUAUGGGAUUAGCUAGUUGGUGAGGUAAUGGCUCACC
rnacentral:rRNA from 1 species